AAUGGUAUGCCAUAAAAUAAGAUCUAGUUGGUGAGUACAGUGUUACAUCUCACCAAAGAACAAAUCAGCUAGGACAACCAAAACUUGAUAGAAGGGAUAUAUACAGUUUUAGAUUUGAAAGAUUUAUGAAGUAUACAUAACUUGAUUAUAAGCAAGUCAGGUCCUUCAGGUCCGUGUCUUACAGCCAUAAAGCCAUCAAGUCAUUGGUGGUGCAUCUUCUAUGGAUUUGAUAUAAUUGGAAAAAAAAAAAAAA